rnacentral:rRNA from 1 species
GGUACAAUGCACCUGGCCCGCCGCCCAAAAGGCGCGUGAGUGCUGGAGCGCGUUUACCAUCCUUCUAGAACACGAUUCUGCCGUUCGCUCGGUUGGGGUCGCGAACUAGAUCCUUUACUUUGAAAAAAUUAGAGUGUUUAAAGCAGGCUUUUGCUCUGAAUACAUUAGCAUGGAAUAAUAAUCUAGGACUUCGGUUCUAUUUUGUUGGUUUCUAUAACUGAAGUA